UCUAGAGUUUAAUAAAAAUUUCCUUAAAGCUAGAGCUAGGAGCAAGCCUUUGGUGAUUUGAGAAUUUAAGAAAGACUUAAGCAGGAAGGAGAGGACCUAAGAGUUGUCAAGGCUAGAAUUUAGCUGGGAUAUUCAAAAUAUUGGAGGUAAAGGUAAAAGAAAGCUGGGCCAUCCUUGAGUUGGAGAGCUUAGGUGACGAUGUGUACAUAUGCAUCUGCUCGACCGCCACAGUCAAGGGUUGAAAGAGGAACUAGGGUUAAACCCUGUUUUGCCGCUUAGAUCGGCUAGUUGUAAUUAUUUUCUUGUAAUAGACCCUUAAAUUAUAUUUUUGGGAUCCCAAUGUAUACGGUAAACGUUAUAAUGAAACUUUAUAUCUUAACGAAA